CGUCCAUCUGUGUCAAUAUUGAGGAAAAGUUCAAGGUAUGAAGCAGUCCUUCUAGUAGCAGUAGUAUCCUUAAUUUCAAGUUCACUGGGAUAUAUGAGAUGUAAGAUAUUGGCUGAAAAUAUGGUUAUUCAAUGAUAGAACAUCAUCAAUAUAUCGGAAAGUAAAAUUAAAGAAUUUCGCAAGGUGCUUUUUCUUUUUGUCUUUUAGAAUAUUUUUUGUAUAUGUCUGUCCGGUAGGGUUCAUCAUGAUCUGAUAGUGACAUAAUUUCAUCAUAUAAGGAAAUAUUAAGAUCGAUCUGGUAUCUCAAUAUUUGAAAAUAUCAUAAAAUUUAGUGUUGACCAACUAUCCAGCUCGAUCAUAGAUUUGUCUGUUUUCAUUGGCACUCAUAACACAUCUUAUAUGCAUUUGCACUCCAGGUAACAG
rnacentral:lncRNA from 1 species